UUGACAGCCCUGGAGACAGAAGUCCCCUAUCAACGGUUACAGCACUCAGAAGAGGCAAUGUGUGUUUCCUACAAUGACCUGCCAGUGUGCCAGAGCCCUGACCUAAAGGGACCACCUUUAGACUUGAGAAUGUAGCUUAGUUUCCAUGCUCAUUCACAGACUAGUCUUAA
rnacentral:sRNA from 1 species